UUCUUGAGUGUGUACUUGUUAAGCCUUUUAAGAAAAAAGUUAUUAACUUAAGGAAUUAUAACAAAGAAGCAACACGUAAAUGGAUUUUCCAUUUUUUAGUGUGUAUCAAUCGAGUUUCUGACCUAUCAGCUUUUGAUGUUAGGGUAUUGGCCUAACAUGGCUAUGACGGGUAACGGGGAAUUAGAGUUCGAUUCCGGAGAGGGAGCCUGAGAAAUAGCUACCACAUCUAAGGAAGGCAGCAGGCGCGUAAAUUACCCAAUUCUAAAGAAGAGAGGUAGUGACAAGAAAUAACAAUACAAGGCCAAUCUGGCUUUGUAAUUGGAAUGAUGGGAAUUUAAAACCUUCCCAAAACUCAAUUGGAGGGCAAGUCUGGUGCCAGCAGCCGCGGUAAUUCCAGCUCCAAUAGCGUAUAUUAAAAUUGUUGCAGUUAAAACGCUCGUAGUUGAAUUUCAAAGAAUCGAUAUUUUAAGUAGCACUUUGUAGAUUAAUCCACAUAAAUGAUACUACGUAUCGACUUUGUGCGCAUUUUUCUACUUAUGUGUUCUUUUAAUUAAAAUGAUUCUUUUUAAGAUCUUUCUUUUUUGCUUCGGCAUUUUAGGAGAUCUUGUUACUUUGAGUAAAUUAGAGUGUUCAAAGCAAACAGAUUAUAGCAUCUUUAUGCGUUUGAAUACUACAGCAUGGAAUAACAAAAUUGAACAAGUCAGAAUUUUGUUCUUUUUUCUUAUUUUGGCUUAGUUACGAUUAAUAGGAGUAGCUUGGGGGCAUUUGUAUUCAGAUGUCAGAGGUGAAAUUCUUAGAUUUUCUGGAGACAAACAACUGCGAAAGCAUUUGCCUAAAAUACUUCCAUUAAUCAAGAACGAAAGUUAAGGGAGUGAAGACGAUCAGAUACCGUCGUAAUCUUAACCAUAAACUAUGCCGACUAGGC
rnacentral:rRNA from 1 species